rnacentral:rRNA from 1 species
UACGGGGGGGGCAAGCGUUGUUCGGAAUUACUGGGCGUAAAGGGCUCGUAGGCGGCUAUUUAAGUCAGACGUGAAAUCCCUCGGCUUAACCGGGGAACGGCGUCUGAUACUGGACGGCUUGAGUUCGGGAGAGGGAUGCGGAAUUCCAGGUGUAGCGGUGAAAUGCGUAGAUAUCUGGAGGAACACCGGUGGCGAAGGCGGCAUCCUGGACCGAUACUGACGCUGAGGAGCGAAAGCCAGGGGAGCAAACGGG